AUUUUUGAGAGUUUGAUCCUGGCUCAGGAUGAACGCUGGCGGCAUGCCUAAGACAUGCAAGUCGAACGGAGGGACCCAAUGACGUUUUAUGAAGUUUUGCGAGCUUGCUCAAGAAACGGAUUAAAGCUGAUUUGGAUUAUCCCUUAGUGGCAAACGGGUGAGUAACACGUGGGUUACCUACCUCCAAGUCGGGGACAACAGUUGGAAACGAUUGCUAAUACCGGAUGUGGACUACGGUUUAAAGAAGCCUUUAAAGCUUCGCUUGGAGAUGGGCCUGCGGUGCAUUAGCUAGUUGGUGGGGCAAUGGCCUACCAAGGCGACGAUGCAUAGCCGAACUGAGAGGUUAAUCGGCCACAUUGGGACUGAGACACGGCCCAAACUCCUACGGGAGACAGCAGUUAGGAAUAUUCGUCAAUGGGGGAAACCCUGAACGAGCAAUGCCGCGUGAGUGAUGACGGUCCUCU
rnacentral:ncRNA from 1 species